rnacentral:tRNA from 1 species
UUUUCUAUGGUGUAAAACACGUCAGCUUUUCACGCUGAAGAUAGGCAGAAAGU